rnacentral:rRNA from 1 species
GACGUAGGGGCGAGCGUUGUCCGGAUUAUUGGGCGUAAAGCGCGCGUAGGCGGUUCGUUAAGUCGGAUGUGAAAAUCCGGGGCUCAACCCCGGACCUGCAUCCGAUACUGGCGGACUGGAGGCAGGCAGGGGAGAUCGGAAUUCCGUGGUGUAGCGGUGAAAUGCGCAGAUAUCAGGAGGAACACCGAUGGCGAAGGCAGGUCGUCUGGGCCACUACUGACGCUGAGAAGCGAAAGCAUGGGGAGCGAACAGG